UACGGAGGGUCCGAGCGUUGUCCGGAAUUAUUGGGCGUAAAGAGCUCGUAGGCGGUCUGUUGCGUCGGUUGUGAAAACCUGGGGCUCAACUCCAGGCCUGCAAUCGAUACGGGCAGACUAGAGUUCGGUAGGGGAGACUGGAAUUCCUGGUGUAGCGGUGAAAUGCGCAGAUAUCAGGAGGAACAUCGGUGGCGAAGGCGGGUCUCUGGGCCGAAACUGACGCUGAGGAGCGAAAGCGUGGGGAGCGAACAGG
rnacentral:rRNA from 1 species